UGCAAGUCGAGCGGACAGAAGGGAGCUUGCUCCCGGAUGUUAGCGGCGGACGGGUGAGUAACACGUGGGUAACCUGCCUGUAAGACUGGGAUAACUCCGGGAAACCGGAGCUAAUACCGGAUAGUUCCUUGAACCGCAUGGUUCAAGGAUGAAAGACGGUUUCGGCUGUCACUUACAGAUGGACCCGCGGCGCAUUAGCUAGUUGGUGAGGUAACGGCUCACCAAGGCGACGAUGCGUAGCCGACCUGAGAGGGUGAUCGGCCACACUGGGACUGAGACACGGCCCAGACUCCUACGGGAGGCAGCAGUAGGGAAUCUUCCGCAAUGGACGAAAGUCUGACGGAGCAACGCCGCGUGAGUGAUGAAGGUUUUCGGAUCGUAAAGCUCUGUUGUUAGGGAAGAACAAGUGCAAGAGUAACUGCUUGCACCUUGACGGUACCUAACCAGAAAGCCACGGCUAACUACGUGCCAGCAGCCGCGGUAAUACGUAGGUGGCAAGCGUUGUCCGGAAUUAUUGGGCGUAAAGGGCUCGCAGGCGGUUUCUUAAGUCUGAUGUGAAAGCCCCCGGCUCAACCGGGGAGGGUCAUUGGAAACUGGGAAACUUGAGUGCAGAAGAGGAGAGUGGAAUUCCACGUGUAGCGGUGAAAUGCGUAGAGAUGUGGAGGAACACCAGUGGCGAAGGCGACUCUCUGGUCUGUAACUGACGCUGAGGAGCGAAAGCGUGGGGAGCGAACAGGAUUAGAUACCCUGGUAGUCCACGCCGUAAACGAUGAGUGCUAAGUGUUAGGGGGUUUCCGCCCCUUAGUGCUGCAGCUAACGCAUUAAGCACUCCGCCUGGGGAGUACGGUCGCAAGACUGAAACUCAAAGGAAUUGACGGGGGCCCGCACAAGCGGUGGAGCAUGUGGUUUAAUUCGAAGC
rnacentral:rRNA from 1 species